rnacentral:rRNA from 1 species
UACGUAGGUGGCAAGCGUUGUCCGGAAUUAUUGGGCGUAAAGCGCGCGCAGGCGGUCUUUAAGUCUGAUGUGAAAGCCCACGGCUCAACCGUGGAGGGUCAUUGGAAACUGGAGGACUUGAGUACAGAAGAGGAAAGCGGAAUUCCACGUGUAGCGGUGAAAUGCGUAGAGAUGUGGAGGAACACCAGUGGCGAAGGCGGCUUUCUGGUCUGUAACUGACGCUGAGGCGCGAAAGCGUGGGGAGCAAACAGG